ACGGAGAAGGAGGGUGUUCGUCGUAGAGUAGCAUUUAAAUGGAUUUAUUUAAAUGAAAUCUUAACUUGUCCCAUCCAAAACUAUCUGCAAAGUGUGUGCGAAGGCUUUUGCCACAACCGGUGAUAAAGUGUAGCAGCGAAAAAAUCUUCUACCAUGUCCGGCAGUGUGAAACGCUAGUGAGAAAAACUUAGGCUAGAAACGCGGAACAACAAACGGAAACACCGGAAACAAUUCGCCAUGAACGUGCAACGGUGCAAUCUGGCGGCGAGGCUUGCUCUGAUAGCGGUGCUUCUUCAGCUGAUGUUGCUAUGUAGCACAUGCAAUGGAUACAUGAUAAUAGCAAACGAAGAUGACGAACCGGGCAAGGUGCUGUUCAACUCCUCCGUGUACAAGCUCGGCUCGGAACGGCAGUACAAGAUCAAUGCGCACAAAUCGGCCCACUACGUGCACCAUCUGCUGCGGGUAGAUCCGGAAAAUGGGCAAGUGAGCCUGAAGCGCAAGCUGCAGUGUGAUGGCAUCUACUAUCCUACACUAUUUACGUUUUACGUCGACUCUACCUCGAACAGACUGCGUAGCAUAGACUAUUACAGCUUACCGAUAAGGAUAUUUAUCGUCGGGCGCAAUUGCUCCGACGAGGACGAAACGGUAGCGGCUAGCUUUCGGAAGCUCUUCGAGGAGGAUGAUACCGGCUACCAUCAUCAUCAACACUACCAGCGAUACAAACGGGAGGCUGUGUAUCGCUUAGCAACGGAGGACGAUACUCCUCUGCCAGGACGGGGGGAAGAUGAGUUUGAAGAGAACGAUCAACGCAUGUACGGAGAGUAUUUGGGCGAUCGGUUCCAUUACUAUCGCUCCGAGUAUCCGUGGUUGGCAGCGACAUCCGUCACCAACUACACGACAUUUCGCGAAGGAGAUGUCCUGUUCGAUACCGUGCUGGAGAACGAAUAUCGGCAUGGAAUCAUCACGCGAAAGCGGCGUGAAAUUCGGGACCUGCCAGCCGAUCGCAUUCAUCGCAAAAUUGCCGAUGCCAAGCAGUGGAUAUCGGAAACGUACGCAUCGUAUGCGAUCCACACGACCGACAAGUGGAAACACAUUUGUCUCAAGAAAUCGCAGUACAUCAACUCGAUCAGUGCAUUCCUGCCGAAGACGGUGCUGCAUCACUGCUCCGUGCGGUAUUUGGAUGUGAACGAUGAACGGUUUGAAAUUGAAACGCGUACCGGUGAUUUGAUCGCGACGGGCGAUCUGUGCAUUCCUGAAACGCUGUGGAAAGUGAUCAUAACGUAUAAUGUGAGGUGCGAUCGGAAGGACAUCAUCGAUGCCGAUCAUCGACUGAAGAUAGUGUACCAUCAUCAGGAACUGAACGAUACAGAUAUAGCGAAGCGCGUUCGUAGGGAGUUGCGAAAUCAAAGUCCCUACUUCGAGCAAGCACUAUAUGUGGCCUCCGUGCUGGAGGAACAGCCUUCCGGUGCAAACGUUAUCACGGUGCGGGCCCGCGAUCCAGAGGAUUCGCCCGUGGUAUAUUCGCUCGUCUCGCUGCUAGAUUCGCGGUCCCAGGCAAUGUUCAAGGUCGACUCGCGCACAGGCGUUGUCACCACUUCUUCCACGCUCGACCGGGAACUGAUGGACGUACACUAUUUUCGUGUUAUAGCGACGGAUGACAGCUUUCCGCCCCGUUCCGGCACCACCACGCUGCAGGUGAACGUGCUCGAUUGUAACGAUCACACGCCAACGUUCGAGGCGGAACAAUUCCACGCGACCGUGCGUGAGGGAGUGAGCGUCGGUUCGACCGUGAUAACGAUACGUGCCACGGACCAGGAUAUCGGUAAAAAUGCUGACAUCGAGUAUGCCAUCACCAGCAUCGUGGGAGAAAAUCAAGACCAGCUAACGUCGGCGUUGGGGCUGGAUGGAGCCAAUGGGGCCCAUCCGGUGGAGAACGAUAGCAGCGAUUCACAAAAAUUCCGCAUCGAUGCACGCAGUGGAACGAUAUCCACACGCAGCGCACUGGACCGGGAAGUGUCGGGCAUGUACACAAUAAUGGUAACUGCUACCGAUAUGGCCACCCCGCAAACGGAGCGUAAAUCGGCCACUACGACGGUGCUGGUUAAGAUUCUGGACGAUAACGACAACUAUCCGCAGUUUAGCGAGCGAACGUACACGGUGCAGGUGCGCGAGGAUCAGUGGGCGAAUGAAAACAACGUGAUUGCCCACAUUCAAGCGACGGAUGCUGACCAGGGAAAUAAUGCUGCAAUUCGCUAUGCAAUCAUCGGUGGCAACACGCAAUCCCAGUUUUCCAUCGACUCGAUGAGCGGCGAUGUGUCACUGGUGAAGCCGUUGGACUACGAAAGUGUGAGAAGCUAUCGGUUGGUGAUUCGCGCCCAAGACGGAGGAAGUCCUUCGCGCUCCAACACAACACAGCUGCUGGUGAACGUCCUUGACGCGAAUGAUAAUGCGCCGCGAUUCUACACCUCCCAGUUUCAGGAGGCAGUGCUGGAAAGUGUCCCGGUAGGAUAUAAUAUUGUGCGCGUGCAGGCGUACGAUUCCGACGAAGGAGCAAAUUCGGAGAUAACGUACAGCAUACAGAACCGGGACGAUGGGAUGCCGCUGGCGGUUGAUCCACGGACUGGUUGGAUACACACGACGAAGGGGUUGGAUCGGGAGGAGCAGAGCCGGUACAGCUUUCAGGUGGUCGCUGUCGAUGGAGGAAUUCCUCCGAAAUCGGCGAGCACAUCGGUCAUUGUGACGAUUCAGGACGUGAACGAUAAUGAUCCGACCUUCAGCCCCAAAUACUAUGAGGCGAUGUUGGCCGAAGAUCAACCACCGGGCACGCCAGUGACAACGGUGACGGCCACCGAUCCGGAUGAGGACUCGAGACUACACUACGAAAUAACUGCGGGCAACACACGUGGCCGCUUUGCAAUAACAUCACAAAAUGGGCGAGGAUUGAUAACGAUCGCACAACCGUUGGAUUAUAAACAGGAGCGUCGGUUUGCUCUUACCAUAACUGCCACCGACAGUGGCCAGCGGACAGACACGGCCAUAGUAAACAUAAACAUCACCGAUGCCAACAACUUUGCUCCCGUGUUUGAGAAUGCUCCCUACAGUGCUUCCGUGUUCGAGGAUGCUCCCAUCGGCACCACGGUGCUGGUAGUGUCUGCUUCGGAUAGCGAUGUCGGAAUCAACGCGCAGAUAACGUACCUGCUGAACGAUGAAUCCGUAAAUGGGCUAGGCGCGAACGAACCGUUCACCAUUAACGCACAAACGGGAGCUAUCAUAACGAACGCCAAGCUGGAUCGCGAAAGUACGAGUGGCUACCUGUUGACGGUAACGGCAAAGGACGGUGGGAAUCCUUCGCUUAGCGAUACCACCGACGUGGAAAUCAGUGUGACGGAUGUGAAUGAUAAUGCGCCGGCAUUUAAAGUACCUCUGUAUCAAGCAACGAUCCCCGAGGAUGCCUUAAUUGGAACGUCGGUGGUACAGAUCGGUGCUACUGAUCUGGACAUGGGGCUGAAUGGUCGUGUAAAGUACGCUCUCAGUCAGAAGGAUAUGGACGAAGGCUCGUUUGUGGUGGAUCCAAUCUCCGGUGUGAUCCGUACGAAUAAAGGACUCGAUCGAGAGAGUAUUCCCGUGUAUCAUCUGACGGCCAUUGCAAGCGACAAGGGCACGCCGACAAUGAGCAGCAGCGUUGAGGUGCAAAUUCGGCUGGAUGACGUGAACGAUUCGCCGCCUACAUUCCCCUCGGACAAGCUGACAUUGUACGUGCCAGAGAACAGCCCGGUAGGAUCGGUGGUCGGAGAGAUAUACGCGCACGAUCCCGACGAGGGUGUGAAUGCGAUCGUGCACUAUUCGAUCAUUGGUGGAGAUGAUUCGAAUUCCUUUUCGCUCGUAACACGACCCGGAUCGGACCGGGCACAGCUGCUGACGAUGACGGAACUGGAUUACGAAUCACCGCGCAAACGUUUCGAGCUGAUCAUACGGGCGGCAAGUCCUCCGCUCAGAAACGACGUGUAUGUGGAGAUAUUGGUAACGGACGUUAACGACAAUGCGCCCGUGCUGCGUGAUUUUCAAGUAAUCUUCAACAAUUUCCGAGACUGUUUCCCCAGCGGAGUGAUCGGCCGUAUUCCUGCGUUCGAUGCCGACGUAACGGACAAACUUACGUACCGUAUCCUUUCGGGGAACAAUGCAAACUUGUUAAGGUUGAACAGCUCGACCGGAGGCUUAACGCUAAGCCCGCAACUUAACACGAACGUACCCAAAUUUGCAACGAUGGAAGUUUCGGUAACGGAUGGGAUUAAUGAGGCGAAAGCGAUCAUGCAGCUAAUCGUGCGGCUCAUUACGGAGGAUAUGCUGUUCAACUCGGUCACGGUUCGUUUGGACGAGAUGACAGAGGAAGCGUUCCUGUCGCCGCUUCAUAGCUUCUUCCUCGAUGGGCUAGCCGCCAUCAUACCGUGUCCGAAAGAGAACAUCUUCCUAUUUUCGAUUCAAGAAGACAUCGAUGUUAGUGGCAAGAUAUUGAACGUGAGCUUUUCGGCGCGCAGACCCGACGUGGCGUUCGAAGAGUACUACAGUUCGCAGUAUCUGCAGGAAAGGAUCUACCUGAAUCGAGCAAUACUGGCACGGCUGGCAACCGUUCGUGUGCUACCGUUUGAUGAUAAUCUGUGCGUGCGAGAGCCAUGUCUAAACUACGAGCAAUGCUUGUCGGUGUUGAAGUUUGGUAACGCGUCAGGAUUUAUACACAGCGAUACGGUUCUGUUCCGCCCGAUACAUCCAGUCAACACGUUUGCCUGCAAGUGUCCGGAAGGAUUUACGGGCAGCAGAGAGCACUAUCUUUGCGAUACGGAAGUCGACCUGUGCUACUCGGAUCCUUGCCAGAACGGUGGAAGCUGUGUACGACGGGAGGGAGGGUAUUCGUGUGUAUGUACGGAACAGUACACCGGUGUUAAUUGUGAAACGUCGAUUGCAGGUUUGAAACCGUGCAUUUCGGAAGUCUGUGGCGACGGUUACAGUUGCCUUACCAGUGGCCACGGAGGACAUUGGCCACCGUACACCAAAACGUGCGAGCUAAUGUCGCGAUCGUUUACGAGAAAUUCGUUCCUCACUUUUCCGGGAAUGAGACAACGGCAUCGGUUUAACAUACGGCUAAAGUUUGCGACGGUGCGCGACAGUGGGCUUUUGUUGUACAAUGGACGUUACAACGAGCAGCACGACUUUAUCGCUCUCGAAAUCAUCAACGGGAAGGUUAUGUUUUCCUUCUCGCUUGGCGACAAAGUGGAAACAGUGACGGUUAACCAGCAGCGUAAGGUAUCCGAUGGCAAUUGGCACACGGUGGAGGUGAAGUACUUCAACCGUACGGUGUUACUCUCCCUCGACAACUGUGACACUGCCACUGCAUUAGCCGGCCUUGGAGAGCGCUGGAAUUGUGCGAAUCAAACGACGCUGGUGCUGGACCGACGGUGUGCCUCACUAGUGGAACCGUGUCACCGAUUUUUCGACCUUACCGGUCCACUACAGAUCGGCGGUUUGCCCAAGAUUCCGGCCUACUUCCAGAUACGCUCGCACAGCUUUAUCGGUUGCAUUUCGGACCUCUACAUCGACCAGCGAUACGUGGACCUGGGUGCGUACAUUGCGGACAAUGGAACGGUGGCAGGCUGCCCGCAGAAAGCAGCCUCGUGUGCAUCGGAACCGUGCUUUAAUGGAGGAACGUGCCGGGAGGGCUGGGGCGAAGGAUGGGAAUGUGACUGUCCCGACGGUUUCACGGGCAAUGCGUGUCAGGAGUCUGUGGCAUUGCCAUGGCGUUUCCAUGGUGAUGGCAUACUUAGCUUCAACCCGUUGCUGCGUCCCAUUCAGCUACCCUGGCUGACUGCGUUCUCGUUGCGGACUCGCAAACGUGACACGUUCGUGAUGGAAAUCCAGGUUGGACAGAACAGUUCAGCGGUUGUGUCCCUGCGCGGCGGCAUCCUGCAAUACCUGUAUAACGGCGAGCCGUUGCAGCUAGCCGGUGCAGACCUGGCCGACGGUCGCUGGCAUCGAGUGGAGAUCAAGUGGAUGGGUACGGAGGUGUCCCUUACGGUCGACUACGGCCAACGAAACGGUGUGCUUCCGGUGACGCAAAAGAUCCAGGGCUUGUACGUGGGCCGCAUCGUGAUCGGUGGAUUGGAGGGAACGAUCGGCCAGCACUAUGGAGGUCCGUCAGAAAACUAUGAAGGAUGCAUUCAGGACGUACGUGUCGGGGGUGUACAGUCCGUGCUGAAGCGUCCAACGGUGCGCGAAAACGUACUGGAUGGGUGCGCUUCGAAUGCAAAGUGUCCAGACGAUUGUCCGGAAGAAUCAACCUGCGUCAGCACCUGGGAUGAAGCGUAUUGCGAGUGUUUGCAUGGAUUUGUAGGCAACGAGUGUAAACCCGUCUGCACGGUGAAGCCCUGCUCGGAUAAUGGCAUCUGUCGGGCUGACACGAUCAACACCAAGGGCUAUCGGUGUGAGUGCAACAGUAGCUUAAGCUCGGGAGAGUACUGCGAAAACACGGUGCAGCAACCGUGUCCCGCUGGGUGGUGGGGCGAACGGAGCUGUGGACCAUGCAAAUGUAACGUUAAGCAGGGCUAUCAUCCAAACUGUGACAAAAGCACGGGACAGUGCUACUGCAGGGAGAAUCACUACCAACCGGUAAACGACACGGUCUGUCUACCCUGCGAGUGUUACACGGUUGGAUCGUACGGCAAAUCGUGCAACAGCUCGGGCCAGUGCGAAUGUCGCGAGGGAGUCAUCGGUCGGCGAUGUGACUCCUGUUCGAAUCCUUACGCGGAGGUAACGCUGAAUGGUUGUGAGGUUGUGUACGACGGUUGCCCCAAAUCACACUCGGCCGGCUUGUGGUGGCCCCGUACAGCGUUUGGAGAGCUAGCCGUGGAGAAUUGCCCAGCGCCAGCGCGAGGCAAAGGCACUAGACGCUGCGAUCAGGUGCAGAGCGGUUGGGGUACGCCCGAUAUGUUCAACUGCACUUCGGAAGCGUUUUUGGAUCUUCGCAAGCAGCUGUCGCAAAUAGAAGUCGACGGGCUGGAGCUGAACACAUUCAUUUCGGUCAAAGUGGCAGCAAAUCUACAGCAGGCGUGUGUUAGCGUGGGAGGACAAGCUAACGAUAAUGAUGGCAAUGGAGUGCGCGAUAGUCGCAUGAAGGAUUUCUACACGAUCGAUUCGGAAAAAUCGAUGGGAAGCGCGGGUGUGUCGCUUUGGCGAGAGGACGACUUUGAGCUGGAUUACCUGCUCAAUGAUGGGCAAUCGUUCGUACAAAGCAAACUGUACGGAGCGGAUCUGCUGAUCACCGACCGUAUGCUGCAUGAGCUAAUGCGCUACGAAUCUUACCAGCAAGGAUUGAACCUUUCGCACAGCCAGGACAAGCACUACGUUCGCAAUCUGGUGGAAAGCGCAGGCGAGAUACUGGAUCGAAGGUAUGCGAACGAGUGGAAAAGGGUCGUUGAUCUUACCGGCCGUGGACCGGAUGAUUUGGUGGAUGCGUUCAAUCAGUACAUGAUCGUGCUGGCACGAUCGCAACACGACACGUACACAAAUCCCUUCGAGAUUGUCCACAAGAACAUGGUGCUCGGUAUGGAUAUUGUAACGACGGAGUCACUGUUCGGAUACGAGUCGCAGAUGGUAAAGCAGUACAAUGGCGGCAAACAACAGGCCAAAGGAAAGCAAGAACACGCUGGUCAACACCCGGAGACGGUUGUUCUGCCUGAUACAAGCUCAUUUUUACAAAACUCGCCCAAGCAGAAGCAGCCGAUGAUAGCGUUCCCGAAGUACAACAACUACAUCCAGGAUCGGUCAAAGUUUGAUCGCCACACAAAGGUGCUUGUUCCGUUGGACAUGCUGGGCAUAACGGCACCGGACAAGAACGAGGUGGUGAAUCAACUCACGGAGCACCGAGCAAUUUUUACCUACGCCCAGUACAAGGACGCGGGAGAACUGUUUCCAGCCAAUUUUGAUGAAACCGUAACGCGCCGCUGGGGUGUAGAAAUGCAGAUCGCUAGCAGUGUUCUGUCGAUCGCGAUCGUAACACCAACCACCGGUAAAGAAUCUUACACGUUCCAAACGUUCCCUUCUUCAGGAGGGCUGGAAAAGCCCGGCACUAAUCACGUGGAACUGUUUGCUACUCCACCACCCGCAAAGCAUGGAUCAGAUCGAACGAAUGAAAAGUUAACGCUGAACGAAAUUAAAAUAUCUAUACACGAUAUGAGCGAUCAGGACGAAGGAUUGGACACGCUGGAUCAGCAUGCACCGCAGCUCCCGAUGGUAAACACACCAGAGCAUGAUGGGGAGGACUUUUUCCCCGCUGAUGAUCUUCCCGAAGCAGUAGUUUUAGCGAGAGGAGGCGAUAAGUCAGCUUCGAAUGAGCGACUGCAAGAAGAGCCUCUCCGGAAGCGACGCAGAAGCAUUGUAACGGCGGCCGACGAUGGUGCCACAGAAGCGCCAGAGAUCGACACGACGUCUCGCACCAGUUAUGCACCGCUCGGCCAAACACAUCUGAAGCAAGCGCUAAAAUUGCAAAUGUGGUUAAACAUUCCGAGGAACCGUUUUGUUUCACGCUCCAACCCACAGUGUGUCCGAUGGAACACGCAUGCAAACCUGUGGACACGAAUCGGCUGUCAGACCGAGAUACCGAACUACGAAUCCAUCGGUAGCAACGAUACGAUUAUAGUGAACUGUACCUGCAACCAGCUGGCCACGUACGCUGUGCUGGUAGACAUCAUCGAUCCGGAGGACAUACCCGAACCGUCGCUGCUAGUCCAGAUUACAUCGUACUCGGCAUUUUUGCUUUCGUUGCCGAUCCUUUUUGCGGUUAUCAUAUCGUUGGCGCUGCUUCGCGGGCUUCAGACAAACUCGAACAGCAUUCAUCAGAACUUGCUGUUUUGCAUUUUCACCGCCGAGCUGCUGUUCUUUGUAGCCAUUCAGGCUCGUAGAGAUCUGCUGGACAAUGAGUUCCCCUGCAAACUGGUCGCCAUUGCGUUACAUUAUUCUUGGCUGGCAGCAUUUGCGUGGACCACGGUGGAUUGCGUGCAUCUGUACCGGAUGUUAACGGAAAUGCGCGACAUUAACCAUGGACCGAUGGGUUUCUAUCAUACGAUAGGUUACGGUGCACCUGCCUUACUGGUGGGACUUUCCGUCGGUGUACGAGUACAUGAGUACGGGAACAGUUUGUUCUGUUGGCUUUCGGUGUACGAGUCCGUUAUCUGGUGGAUGGUUGGACCGAUCGCCAUCGUUUCAGUGUUCGAUCUGUUUAUCCUGUUCCUAUCGGUAAAAGCGGCAUUCACGAUCAAGGAUCAUGUGCUAGGGUUCGGUAACCUGCGCACGUUGCUUUGGUUGUCCGUCGUGUCGCUUCCGCUGCUUGGCAUUAUGUGGGUUCUAGCAGUGCUUUCGGCGUCAGAAAAUUCACAACUGCUCAACAUGCUUCUAUCGGCGGUGAUCAUUAUGCACUCGCUUUUCUCCGUGAUUGGAUACUGCAUAAUUAACAAACGAGUGCGAGAAAAUUUGCAUAACGCAUUUUUGCGCUGCAUUGGCCGUAAAGUGCCACUGCUCGAAUCGUCGAUCGCCAUCAGCAACAGUUCGCAGAACGUAGGCUCACCCAAAACGCCCGGAUUUGCGGGUAGCUCGGGUGGGGGGCAGUAUGACACGGCCAGGCGAAACAUCGGCAUCAGCACGUCAAGCACCACUUCGCGCAGCACGGCCAAAACUAGCUCCAGCCCGUAUCGUAGCGAUGGUCAGUUUAGGCACACCUCAACCUCUACCUCCAACUAUAACAGCGACGGAGUGGCCUCGUAUAUGCGUGGACAUUAUGACGACAGUGCGCUGCGGAAGAUGAAAAGCAGUGGCCAAGGACGGGACGGGGAGCGUCGAAGCCAUAGAAGACAUCGCCGAGAUUCGGACUCUGGCAGUGAGACUGAUGGCAGGAGCCUGGAGCUUGCCUCGAGCCACUCAAGCGAUGAUGAAGAGUCGCGUGUCGGACGUAACAGUAGCACGCAUCGUAGCACUGGUGUAUGCAGUACGUCGUACCUACCAAACAUUACAGAACAUGUGGCAACGACUCCUCCUGAGCUGCAUGUCGUGCAGAGUCCACAGCUGUUCCCGAACGUGACACCGACCAGAUGGCCCACGCAGAAUGCUGGCAAUUAUUUACCACCUGGAAAUGGGCGCUGGUCACAGGAAACCGCUUCAGAUAACGAAGCCCAUCCGCACAAAUCGCCAACCAACGGUGGUUCGCUACCGAACCCAGACAUCACGGAAACUUCCUACCUUCAUCAGAACCGCAUGAACAUGCCACCGUCGAUUUUGGAAAACAUUCAAGAAAACUACAACAUCGGCUAUUCAAACACGGACCCGCACGGUGAUCGCAAUUAUAGUAAUUACGGCAACACGGACAAUUACGUGCCACCGGAUUAUGCGAAACGGUACGACUCGCAAGCGUCGGUAAAUCCUGCUAGCACUCUUCCCCAUCAUUACGCCUCAUCGGUGCACGGCAGUACCACCGGUGGAGGGGUACCGAUUGCCGAAGCACGUCAUACCGGAUCGAUGCAGGUCAUCAAUCACAUGCGUGCCUAUCAGCACGAAAAUCCCUACGCACUGAAAGAAUCCCUUUACGAACGAUCACGAACACUGGGGUAUGGUUCGAGUGGUGGAGGUGCCGAGUCACCCUAUCACGCGCAUCCGCUUGCCACUCCCAACGACUUGUACAGCCCUCCCGGAUCGCAUGUCAUGUCAUUCAAAUCGAGCGUACAAUCGCUGCUUAAGAACGAUUACCAGCAGCAACAGCGCCAACAGCAUAAGCAUCAUCAGGCAGGAGGCAAUGGUGGCGAAUCGGACCGAAUGUCGGAAGGAUCGGAUAAAAAUCCGUACAACUUUCCGUACACUGCCGAGGAGGACCAUCUGGUGCACAGUAAUGGUGCGUCCAGGAUGCAUCACACCGCAGGGAUGGAAAGCAUGGGACCAAUGGAGCACAUGAUUGCUUCCAGCUCUCCAGCACCACCUCCGCAGCUACUUGCGCGGGGCCCAGAGGGUGGACUUUCGCCGGCACCGCUGCAAUCUAUGGGACAGUUUAAUGCGGCAAAUGACUGGUGUUGGGACCGUCUAAAAAUGUUAGAGUAAACCGAGUCACCCCCUGUUGUGCAACCCAAGGAACUGGGAGAUAACAUAUAACCUAAACACAAAUUAUCAACAAGGGAACAACAAAAUAUGUGUAACCAAUGAGGACGAUGAAACAACCGUCUAGUCUGCAACAUUCGAUAAAAUAGUUUGUAGCGGUUGUUGUACUGUACGAAUUGCCGUGUACCGUAUUCUACACAUGCGCAACAUGCUCUCUAUACAAAUGCAUCACAACAACACAAAAUACUCCCCGCCGAUGCGUUCGAUCGCGGAUCCGCUCCGGUGUUUACGUGUGUAUAUUUACGAAAGAAUGGGACAAAAGCAAAUGAACCCACGGACAAAGUUUUGUAAUAUAUUUAUAUUAUCAACUAUAGCAUGAGAGUGUAGAGCCACGGGGCUCAACAACGAGUGGUGCUGCCUGCAUUCAUGGUUUUGGAUGUAUAUAUUUAUACAGAUCGAUUUAAGAUAUACAAUGACGAUUGUGCUCGGUACCGUAUCUUUAAUCAAUCCCACAUACGCUGCCCGCUUUUGCUUUGUGUUCUCAAUCCUAUUUCCGUGUACCUCUUUUAUGAACCGGUAUGAAAAACCCGGUACAGCAACUAGUUACUUACCAGAUGCUCGAUGUUCAAACUAGUGCAAACAGCCUGCAUUACAACAGACAGCUUCGAAGGAAAAGCGCAAAUUAAUAUGUUUUUUUAUCUAAAACACAAAAACUCCCAUCGGGGAAGAUAAAGAUGCUUCAACUGCAUGCCAUGCUGCAAGCGAGCGGGAGCAAAACUGCGAGCACUCUGCUGCCUUGAGUAUAGUAUUGUUAAAACGAUUAAUGUGGCUUUCAAAAUCGUAACCGAAUAGUAGGUGUUAAACAUGUAUGUAGCGCAAUGUGCUUUUUAUACGAUCGUUCAGCUGGGUUUUCAGAGACAAAGAGGAAGCAUAGGGUACAAUUUUGCGACAAAAAUAAAGCGUGUAACAAAGUGUAGAGCAAGCGAAUUCAGCGCUGCAGAGAAACGCGAAGAAUGAAAGUGCCUGAAAGUAGGUGAAUUUUUGUGUUAGAUUUGUUUCGAAACCGGAGACAGCAGCAGCAGCAGCAGCAGCAGCAUGUAGAGCUAAAUUUUUACGGCUAUAAUCAAUUUUAAUUUGCACCUUAAGUGAGUGUGGAAGCGAGCUUUUUUAUAUGUAUCAUGUUUUCGCAAGCAAACUGAUCUGAGAGAGAAAAGGGAAAGGGACUUAUUCAAAAGACUUAUUGCAGCUUUUACUGCUUACUGCCAUACCGUAGAAAAUCCGAUAACAGUUAAAUUAUUUUAGUAACUAAGCUUUUUAAAAAAAACACACACACACACACACACACACUUUCUACAACAGGUUUGCUUUAGUAGUGUCCUUGUUCCAAGCGACCGAACGGUAUUCUCGUGCUUAAUUUUAACGACACCCCCAAAGUGAUGGUCAUGAGCCACGACGCUAGCACACAACAUUCCAUCCAUCGAUUUUAUCUCCAAACUUUAGUUCGUAUACAAACAACUGUAAACCACCGGCGUUGUGCAGGUUCUCGCUGUAGAGAGAGAACUACCGAGAGCCACACAACCACAAUGGUGCUAAGCGACACCCCAGUGAUAUAUAUUUUUGUACUUGAGAUUUUAACCCCCGUACCCGUGUAGAACGCUGUAUUUUUUUAGUUAACGUAAACCAAUGCACUAUUCUAAUGGCGUGUAAUGUGCUCGCCUGUGCUCAGAAGACGGUGUAAGAUCUAGGCGUUUUUAAUUCACACACAUUCCUUCCUUAGGUUUUAUUCUUCCGUUUGGAGUACGCGUGCUGAGUAAUUUUGACUGUGUAAUGCAAUAGUGAGAUUUUUAAAUUGUUUGCUUUCGUAUAGUAGCAUUUGUUAGGUAAGAUCAUAUACACAUAACAUAACAUUCACGGUGCACCGUGAAGCCCCAAGGUGUGGCGUGACGGUUUACCGAGGCCGCUCCGUGCAGAGGGCACAAACACAACACAAAAAUGGCAGGAAAAGACAUGCUAGAGUUUAAGACAUUCCUAAAAACUCAUGAAUUAUUUUCAUGCAGAGUGAAGAGAAGAGCAACAACAAUAAACUUAAAUGACCAUGUGACCAUAGGGA